ACUGUGCUUGUUUGCCAUCUUUUGAAGUCUUAUCUUUUUUAGGAGGAGUUGUCGGUGAAGUCUUUUGAAAAAAAGAAAAGGUUAAAAAAACCCAAUUUGUAUGUUUGUACUGUAGAGUGGAACAGCAGUAGAUAAAAUGUUCUAUAUCACAUACAUGCACCCUCUACAUCCAAAACUAUAUUAUUGUCCCAUUGAUUUUAACAAAACUCUAGGUCAUGAUAAUAGACCCUUCUCUAGUAAUUGGGUAUACUUAAAACCAAGACUUUUAUUUGAAAGAAUUUUUUGUUUCAUUUACAUUACAUUAAAAAUACCUGUCUGGCCUCUUUUGAGGAUUUAUCCUUUUUAGGAGGGGUUGUUGGUGAAGUCUUACCAGGAGCAGGCUUCAGAAAAAAAGGAAAAAGCUGCCGCUCGCCUCCGUCGUCUUGGCUUUUUGUGUUAUCCUGUGACGUGGACCCUGUUGUGACGACUUCAUCCCUUUGGACCUUGGACUGGAUUUCGACUUGGCAUAUCUCUUCGCUCCCAAAACUCGGCUUGGCACCAUUCCUAUCUCCGUGGUUGUCUUCCGUUGCUGACUACUGGCUUCAUCUUCGACUCUGACGCUGUUUUCCAACCCCGACUUCGGACCGGCUUGACUUCGCUACGACGCUUCACUGCUUUGACAUCUGGCUUGGCUUUCAACUCCACAGCGAUUUGUCGCUAUUGUUUCAGCGUUUUCCAGCUUAGCUUGCUUGUGCCGUUUUUGGCGAAGAACUUUAGCCCGGUUUGGGCUUUCUUUUGAGUUUUGGGGUUUUUUCUGUACUCUUGGGUUUUGGGAAAGUUUUGAGCUUCCGGGAUUAUCUGUCUUUGUUUGUUUUGCCGUUUUGAGUCUGCUUUGCAAUUUUGAACUUGAUUCAAGCACCUUGGUUCUAAUCCGGAUUAUAUCUCCGGAUAAUCCGGAUUAUACGACGGUUUGUUCUUUUGGCAUUUUCUUCGUUUUGAAUGCUUAUUUACACUGAAGUUUAAGUGUUAUAAGCUCCUAAGACAGUUUAUUGAGCUGUUUUGAGUUGUUUGUUAAAUAAACUGCAUUUAUCUAA